GCAGCCGGCAGAAGCCAGCUCUCGGGCUGACAGGCAAAUGAACCAGAUCGUGGACGGGGCCUCUGGGUGGCAGCUCCGGCCUUUUGGUUGUUGGACAACUAUAGUCAGAACUGAAAUGGAACAGGGGCAGGAGAAAUAACACACUUUUACUCCACGCAACUGUUGCUUUCACAUGAUCUUCAGGAAUGUAACUGGGAUAAUUGUCCAAAUCGAAUCCCAUGCCCUGUCAUGGUACUGAUUAUUAAGGUGACUAUAUGAAAGGAUCACUCCAAAAUAACAGGAAUCUUGAGGAACCCAUUAAUGUAAAGCUGCGGCCAGAGUUCCAUGAGGAGGCAGAAUGUUCUAGAUGAUCCCUGUCUCUUCUCCAUUGAGGAAGUCGUUUCUUGCCUCUCUGUAAGCUCAGUUAAUCAUACCAGAAUAGGAGUCCUGUCUUAACUGAGCAAUAUACACUAUGGAGAGAUCCUUCAAAACCCGUCGGGACGAAUAACAGAUGAAUUCAUAAAACUGUUCAUCUCUGUUAUCCUGAAUGGUCACUCAGACAACAUUUUACUCAACUAUAAAGGGGAACACUUAAAGUGCAUAUGAGAAGAGAAGAGAAUGACCACAGGAGAAAAUCAUCUCAGGCCACGAUUUCCUAACCAGAAUCUGUAAGAGAGAUUCCAAGAACUUGGGAGAAGCAUAUUGUGUGAUGUUCUAUAUUUAUGAGACCCAUAGCAAACUGUGAAGAGAUAACAGAAUGCUUUUUGCGUGAGCUGAAACAGUAGAUGAAAUCUUUCAUUAAAAUUACUCGUACUUUGGGUCCUAUUCUUAUUUAUAAAUAAAUACUAUUGCAAAC
ensembl:processed_transcript